rnacentral:rRNA from 1 species
AGCUCCAAUAGCGUAUAUUAAAGUUGUUGCAGUUAAAAAGCUCGUAGUUGAAUUUGUGGCGUACACAAGGCUGCUGUCCUUAUGGGUUUAUAGUGUUGCCUGUUGUUGCCAUCUUUGGGUAAAACCUGUGUGGCAUUAGGUUGUCGUGCAGGGGAUGUUCAUCAAUUACUGUGAAAAAAUUAGAGUGUUCAAAGCAGGCU